AUCCACUCCAUCAGGAGUUCAUCUUGAGAGCCCAGGACAGGCAGGGUGGUCCCAGGCCAGUGAGUCUGUGCAGCAUGAAUGUCACAGCUCGUGGCCAUAUUGUUUGGACCAGUCUUAGCUACAUGGAGGAAGUGGAAGAUUUUUCAGUUGAUGGUAGCAGCAAGCAGAAUUAUGCAUUCCUGGGGCAGCUGGGCCUUUGCUGUUGUGCUUGCUGCAGGAACACCCUUUUCAGAGAGACUUGGCAUGAGAAAAGUAUGCAUCCUAAAAAAGGUAUGUCAUCAAGCAGCAGUGAGGGAAUGUCAGACCUCCAGUUAAAGGAACGCAUCAUCUCAGGAGGAAGCACACAGUCAGCACAACAGGCAACCACCUAGUGAAAUUCACACCCCGGGCAGCCCUGAGACUCAGGAAAGUGCCAGAGUUAUAGUGCUCUGACAACUCCUGGUCUUGGCACCUGUGGUAAUUACAGUGCCUCUAAGGGUCUUAUUCCAAAGUAUCUUUAUCAUGAGCUGCCAAUCCUUCUGUGCAGUGCAGUAUUUUCAGGUACUUCCAGAUGAUUCACAAACUUGUGUUGAAGCAUCCCGUGAGUGCUCAGUGCGUCAUCAAGAGAAAAAAAGUAUUUCUCAGAGUUUCCAGUAUAGAUCACUAUGUUCCUCUCAGCUCAGUUCCUCUCAGGAUGGCUGCUUUAUCCAGUAAAAUCGAAUGGCAUGAACAUUAUCAUUGCUCAGCUUGACACAGUGCUUCAUAAAAGAGAGCACUGCGAUAAGAUGACUAACUGGGGUGCUGUAUGAGACUGUCUGAAACACAGAUAGGUACAGAUAGUGUGGAGAUGAUGUAGGCAGAGGGACCAUGCAGGUGGCCUGGCAGCCUCCUGUCCAGACUGAUUUUCUGUGAUUUCCUAACAGCAGAGGUAAGCACCGAGCUCUUAGUGGGGUGGGAAGGUGCUCAGCUCUCAUUAUAUGCCAAGAUUUUCUUCAUAAUCUGAUGUCAGGAUCUCACAAACCUAUUGUUUAAAAGGGAAAAAAAA